rnacentral:rRNA from 1 species
GUAGUUGUAUAGCUGUUGGAUUGAUUGUUUGGGUUUAUUUGCCUUUUGCAUCAUGCUUGGUGGAGUUUUAUAAAUUAUGUUUUGAAACCGAAAGGCUCUGAUUUUGAAUUUGAUUGUUUAGAAUUAUUGUUAAACCCGGGUAGGGUUUUGAAAAUUGAAUUUAUGGGGUGAUAAGUAAGUCGUAGAGCUUUAUAGCUGUUUAGUUGUUGAGUGGUUAUUUUUAUGUGUAUGGCUAUUAGGUCAUUUAUAAGUUUAUACAGUGUGUAUUAUAUGUGUAUUGGUUAUAAUAAGGCUAGAGGUACCUGAUUUUUGUUAUAUUGUUGCAAAUAUGGUUUAGUUAAGGUUGGUUAUGUUAAUUUUUUGGACAACUAUUUAUUAUAUUUGGUAUUGUAUUAUCGCUAAAUAAGUAAUAUUAUCAUACUGUUUAUUUCUCGAGCCCUUUCCGUCUGUUUAUUAAAAACAUUUCUAACUUUGAUUAUAGUUGGUAGUGCCUGCCCAAUGUUUGUUAGUUAAUUAAUGGCCGCAGUAUAUUGACUGUGCAAAGGUAGCAUAAUUAAUUGCCUUUUAAUUGGAGGCUUGUUUGAAUGGUUUGACGUGAUUGGUGUUAAUAUUUAGUAUAUAAUUGAAAUUGAUUUUAAGGGUUAAGAAUCCUUUGUGUUUAAUAAGACGGAAAGACCCUAGGAUCUUUUGUUUUUGUUUGGGGCGAAUUUUGGUGUUUCAUGAAUAUUAUGACCCUAAAGUGUAUUGGUUUAUUGAGUUAAGUUACCCUAGGGAUAACAGUGUAAUGGUUAAUUAGAGAUCUUAUCGAAUUAAUUGUUUGCCACCUCGAUGUUGACUUAGGCUAAGGUCUUGGUGCAGUAGUUGAGAUUUUAGGUCUGUUCGACCUUUUAGCCUCCAUGAGUUGAGUUGAGACCGGCGUGAGCCAGGUCGGUUCUUAUCUAUUGUAGAAGUUUAUUAGUACGAAAGGACAGUAAAUUUUUUUGUU